rnacentral:tRNA from 1 species
GUCGGCCUAAUUUAAAUAAAAUGCUGGGUUGUGACCCCAGAAAUAGGGGCUAAACUCCCCUGACCUACC